AGAAAGCUUGGUGGAAUACUGGAAUGGUUGAUAUUAAACCAAGUGUCAUCUAGAUUCUUAGAUUCGGAGAGUAACUACCAAACCAACGCCAAAUGUGGGGAAUCUUGUGAACCGGAUCAAACCAGGAUUCUUCUUUUAUAUGUGCCGCCGGUCCAGGGUUGUCUUCGUCAAAAACUGUCUCAAAUUGUCAACGCUAUUUUGACCUAUUCCUGCUAAAUUUCAGUUGGCUUUCCCGUAUUUGGAACGUAUUUUCCGUAUCUCAUUUUAAUUUGACUUUCAUUACCAUUACUUGUCUUCCACCUCCAUUUUCAUCGAUUUACACAUCUAUCCAAAAGUAUACAUAGUGAUCGUAUUCGUACGAAGCUGAAUUUAGCCAUUUAGGGAAGAUAUGCUAUGUACAUAUUAUAUGGGUCAUUAGGUUUACGUAUUUUCAUUUAUUAGAAUUAACAGAAUAUAUCACUGUAUUGCUGUUAAUUAGUCGACCUACAUAACUCUUGUUCAGAAUAUAUAUAAUUUUUUUAUAUGAUCAUAAAUUCAAAUGAGAUAAAUUUCUACAUGCUGCAUAGUGCGUAUAUAUAGAAGAUGUAUUAUUUUUUGUUUUUAAAUAUACAUUUUCAUAAUUUUUUUUUUUUUUGACAAAAGAUUUAACAUUUUUUUCCCACUACAUAAGCAAAACCAAAAAUAUAUACAAACAUAUAAUUAGCCUUGGUCCACCGACAUUCAAGAUAUAAUAAUAUAAUCAACACUUUUGACAUAUGUGUAUGUUUGUAGAUAAACACGGUCUACAUUUUAGAAUGCAUAGUAAGAAGAAACAUGUGGAGUAGAAGGUGAGUGAGACAUGGUUUCAUGAAAAGUGGCAGAGACACAAUAAUAAAUACUAACAUUUAAAAGACGGACCAACAAGGCAACAACGAAAUUAAAUGAUGUCUUUAAUUUCAUAUUUCACGUACCAUUCUCGUGCUAUUCCCAUGCACUUAACAUGUUUGCUCCGCUUCUUCCUUUUAAUUUACCGAACGAACCUUUCAACUAAUUUUUCGGUUAUGUCAACUCAACUUUCUCUUCUCAGUUCCCUGACCGUAAUGCAAUAUGCAACAAUUUGAC
rnacentral:lncRNA from 1 species